rnacentral:rRNA from 1 species
ACGCUCGACACCUACGGGAGCAGCAGUGAGGAAUAUUGGUCAAUGGGCGCUAGCCUGAACCAGCCAAGUAGCGUGAAGGAUGAAGGCUCUAUGGGUCGUAAACUUCUUUUAUAUAAGAAUAAAGUGCAGUAUGUAUACUGUUUUGUAUGUAUUAUAUGAAUAAGGAUCGGCUAACUCCGUGACAGCAGCCGCGGUAAUCUGAGCGGGCGUGGCAAGGC